GGGAAGCAAGGGGGUAGGUCGAAAUCUUUUGAGAGACACCUAGAGAUUUAGUGAUAGCUUUGAAAUAAUCGGCUUCUCUCACCCUGGCAUGCUUUCUUUUUAUCCUUCUCCUCAUCUUUCUCCAAUUUUGUUAAGAGAAAAUUUUAGGCCUGGGGUAUGUCUUGGUGUGUGGAGAAAGGCUGAAAUCCCGGGAUGGAGACAACAGAAAUUUAGAGAUCAUUUGAAAAUAGUUCACCUCACUCAAUGCCGGCCUGUGGUGGUGGGGUGGGGCGCGGGACGGGGCGAAGGAGGGAGACGCGGGCCUUGCAAGGCCCAGGCCUGAGGGUGAGGAGUGGGGAGUGGAAACGGAAAUCCUGAAGGAAAGGAUAUAGACAGGAAGGAGGGGCCAGGAGGUAGAAAUCCGGGGGGCGAUGACGGUGAUAAUGAGAAUCCCAGGUUCAAAAUAAUAACGUCUGUCUUGUCUCUGGAGCUGGUUGAUCCACAGAUAGCUCCUUCCUCCCCGCCCCUUCCUUUUUGUUUGCAGGUCCCAGAAUCUGUGUUCACAGACAUCUGGGGGAAGAAAAGGAGCAGGAAACUACCCCGCACAGAGUUAAGCAGGAAACAACAACAACAUCAUGCAAAAACCCUGCAAAGAAAACGAAGGAAAGCCAAAGUGCAGCGUGCCAAAGAGGGAGGAAAAACGCCCGUAUGGAGAAUUUGAACGCCAGCAAACAGAAGGGAAUUUUAGACAGAGGCUGCUUCAGUCUCUCGAAGAAUUUAAAGAGGACAUAGACUAUAGGCAUUUUAAAGAUGAAGAAAUGACAAGGGAGGGAGAUGAGAUGGAAAGGUGUUUGGAAGAGAUAAGGGGUCUGAGAAAGAAAUUUAGGGCUCUGCAUUCUAACCAUAGGCAUUCUCGGGACCGUCCUUAUCCCAUUUAAUUAAUUUCUCUGACAAUUCAAUUAUUUUCUGUUAUUAAUGUUGCCACUGCUUUCUGUUUGUCUGCACUUUCUUGAUAAAUAUUUGCUAUCGUUUUACUCCAGUCAUUCGAUGUUGCUGAGAUUUACAUAUGACUCUUGUCAACAUCUCAUCUUUUGACCCAAUCUUAUUCAUUUAAUAAGAGGUCUCAUUCAUUUGCAUGGAAAAAUGCUCAUUGUAUAUUGCAAAGUGAAAAUAACGAGUUGCAAAACAGUGUAUACAUAUAUGUGUGUAUAUAUGUACACUUUAUUUGUACAUUUCUAUGUGACAUAAUGCAAAGGAAAGUGUCUGCCUUUAUUAUACACCAAAGGUUAACAGUGAAUCUCUGUGUGAUCUCUUUUUUUUUCUUUUUGCCUAUCUGCAUCUUCUCACUUGCCAAAAAAUGAAUAUAUGUUUAUGUGUGUAUAUUACUUGUCUCACAAAAAACCCUAAAGUAGACAGUAAAAGAACUUGUCAAUCGCCUUUGGAAGGCAAUGAAACACUUAAUAAACUCUCAAUAACAGAAGCGUAAAAAUGAAAUGUAA
rnacentral:lncRNA from 1 species